rnacentral:lncRNA from 1 species
CGGCACUAUCAAAGGCAAGUCGUAUGGCGUCGCGUGCAUCCAACGCGCCAAGCAAGACAUUGACCAUGUCGUCCCGACGCGUCGUCAAGGCCAAGGUCAGGGCCGACACAUGCGCGACACGCACGGGGCACCAGAUGACCGACGCAGAGAUUGGAAAACUGUGUUUGCACAGCCAACGCACGCAGUCCACAUGGCCGUUUUUCACGGCAUGCGCCGCCGCAUCGUAGGCGACGCUGCAGACGUGCGGCCAACGCAACAAGAGGUACUUUAAGAGCGCGAGAUGUCCGCCCCGAGCGGCGCCGCGCACAAGAGCCACUCGCUCGCGCGGAACAUAGUAUUCUCUGUCGGCGUUUCUAUCGAUAAGACGGCACAUGGUUUCGACCAGUGCGCGUCGACCGGCAAGCGCGCACGCCUCUGCGACGUGGACAUGUGCAGCGGACGCGGACGACGGGUGGUGCCCUUCCAAAGCCGCAGGGUUGGAUACGACAUCCACCGCAUCGUCCAGGCGCCCGUCAGCGACAAGCGCCCAGAUGGCUGCUAUGGCUCCCUCGACCAGUUUCUCGGCAUGGCGCUCCGCCUCCCGCAAAUGGCCCUGCGCACGACAGCGUCGCUCAUCGCGAUUGGCCCGUACGACGGCGUCGACCGGAACGCGCGCGUCAUCGUGAUCGCCAACCAAAACGAGCACGUAGCGCAUUAGCUGGUUGGCCAUAUCGAGCCACGGUUCGUGCUGGCACAAGGCCAAGGCAGCGCUGCGCGCUUCAGGCGUUGAAUGGUUCCACAUGUUGGACGCACGCUCAAAAGCGCUCACCGUCCUCCACGGGUCCUUUUGUUGCAACAGUUGGGCCGAUACACAGCGCAUCGUUGCCAGAGGACGCAAAAGCGCUUCCGGCCCCGUGGCCAACGCAUAAACCUCGCGCCAGUCGCCGUCAUCCAGGCCCGGCGCCGGACCGACUCGAUCGACGAUCCACGCGAUCACGUCCACAUGUUCUCGUAUGGCGGCUGCAUGCAUGCACAUGGCCCAGUCGACGGGUUCCGUGGUGGGCCGCCGGGCGAGCGCAUAUUGGAGGCCUCGCAGAUCGCCCACGGCGCACAUACCCUCGACCGUAGCGUAGGCAUAACGUCGGCGCUCCAGGUCGUGUGUGGUCAGCGCGCAAAAAGAGCGCCCGGCCAAAAGGCACGCGCCCACGUCGCGAUCGGACAGCCAGCGUAUGAUGAUCUCGCGCCUCAGUUCCACGGGCAGAGUCGACCACAUGUCGUAACUGGAACAUAGCGCUUGUUUUGCAUUGGUCGUCCUGUCUGCCAUGGGGCGAAAAAAACGAUCGGGUCUGCUUAUGGCGCGUCCUUUUG